rnacentral:rRNA from 1 species
GUCUGAUUAGCUAGUUGGUGGGGUAACGGCCCACCAAGGCUACGAUCGGUAGCUGGUCUGAGAGGAUGAUCAGCCUCACUGGGACUGAGACACGGCCCAGACUCCUACGGGAGGCAGCAGUGGGGAGUAUUGGACAAUGGGCGCAAGCCUGAUCCAGCCAUGCCGCGUGGGUGAUGAAGGCCCUAGGGUUGUAAAGCCCUUUCGACGGGAACGAUAAUGACGGUACCCGGAGAAGAAGCUGCGGCUAACUACGUGCCAGCAGCCGCGGUAAUACGUAGGCAGCGAGCGUUGUUCGGAAUUACUGGGCGUAAAGAGUGUGUAGGCGGUGUUCCCAGUCUGUUGUGAAAUCUCCCGGCUUAACUGGGAGGGUGCAGCGGAAACUAGAAUGCUAGAGGGUGGGAGAGGUAAGCGGAAUUCCUGGUGUAGCGGUGAAAUGCGUAGAUAUCAGGAGGAACACCUGUGGUGUAGACAGCUUACUGGACCACUUCUGACGCUGAGACACGAAAGCGUGGGUAGCA